UACGUAGGGCGCAAGCGUUGUCCGGAAUUAUUGGGCGUAAAGAGCUCGUAGGCGGCUUGUCACGUCGGGUGUGAAAGCUCGGGGCUUAACCCCGGGUCUGCAUUCGAUACGGGCUGGCUGGAGUGUGGUAGGGGGAGAUCGAAUUCCUGGUGUAGCGGUGAAAUGCGCAGAUAUCAGGAGGAACACCGGUGGCGAAGGCGGAUCUCUGGGCCAUUACUGACGCUGAGGAGCGAAAGCGUGGGGAGCGAACAGG
rnacentral:rRNA from 1 species